rnacentral:rRNA from 1 species
ACGGCCAUACCAUGUUCAAAACACCGGUUGUCGUCCGAUCACCGAAGUUAGGUAACGUCGGGCAUGGUUAGUACUUGCAUAAGUGACCGCCUAGGAACACCAUGUGCUA